rnacentral:rRNA from 1 species
CAGCCGCCGCGGUAAUACGAAGGGGGCUAGCGUUGUUCGGAAUUACUGGGCGUAAAGGGCGCGUAGGCGGCCAUUCAAGUUAGAUGUGAAAGCCCUGGGCUCAACCUAGGAAUUGCAUUUGAUACUGUUUGGCUUGAGUUCGGGAGAGGUGAGUGGAAUUCCCAGUGUAGAGGUGAAAUUCGUAGAUAUUGGGAAGGAACACCUGUGGCGAAAGCGGCUCACUGGACCAUUUCUGACGCUGAUGCACGAAAGCUAGGGGAGCAAACAGGAUUAGAUACCCGAGUAGUCCCUGUCUCUUAUA